UUCAGAUCUAUACGUAUGAAAUACAAGACAUAUGUGUUCAACUUUCCUUCAUCGCCUCCUUUAAACUUUCUUUUUUCUUUUUUGAGUCAGUCCCUGCAGGAACAGACCAAGUGAGCCCAUUAAGAGAACAGUUCAUUCCCACCUGCUACCUCGAGCCAGCCAACAAUCUCAGCCUCACCACUCCAUUCUUGAUUAUGUAGAACCAUUCCAAUCCUGAGUGACAGGAUUUGCAAAGACAGCUGUUGGGCUCCACAAACAUUUGGAGGAGGGGAAAAUGUGAGGUUGGUUGCUACAUUCUCCUACUUCUUUUUACUGAAAGGAACAGCUGCGAUCUUCACAUGUAAGAUGAAGUAAACAAAAGCUGACAAUGCCCAGCACCAUUCAGCAGUAAGCAUUCAAAUGGAUUUUUCCUCACCGCGUUUGCAGGCCCGGCACAGUCUCAGUUCCCCACAGCACAGAGAGGAAGCAAGGUCUUUGCAUGCCCUGUUCACUUGGCCAAACAUUGCCCUAGAUGUGCAAUUCAACCCAUAUAAAGCAAGCGUAAUUCAAGAGCCCUGACUCUUUCACCAUUUCAUGAUGGCUUAUUACUCGCACACGGCAUUGUCAGGUUCCAGCAACUCUGUGUGCAGCAGGCAGAAAUGCAGUGUUUAUCUCUGACAGGCAAACAUUCUUAGGCUCAUCGGCAUGAGUAUCCACGCUGAACUGGCUAUCGGGGAAGUAGAUCCCUGCAUGGGAAAGUCAAGUAUCCCCACUGUGUAGAGCUGGUCCACAAUGGAGAGGAGGAAAAGUUUUGCAUUGGACCAAAUCACUGCCUUAGAAGGAAAGAGAUUGCAAUCCCAUUCAUUUUUAAGAUCUGCAAUGGGUUGGGAUGAUACCCAUUUAAAAAAGAAAAAAAAAGAGGUUACCUCUUUGGCCUCUUUGGCAAAGGAUAUGAACUAGUAAUAAAGCCUCAGCAUCAAGGCUUGGGAGUCUGGCUCAAAGUGGCUAAGACUAGAAGCAUCUUCUAACAUAAAUAUGGCAGCAUUAGGAAAAUAGCUUGGCCUUUAGAGAGACCCAGAUUAUCUUCACCUUAAAAACUACCAAGACCCUGGUCCAGCAAGACCACCAUCACAGCAGUAAAUACAUAGCCACCAACUUCACAGAAGGUUUUCCACUGAGACAUUGUGAAAACCACAAUCCAUUACCGGUGGAUGAGUCCCAGCUCUCUUACUACCUGGAGCUUCCAAGCAAGACUUACCUGUCCUUUGUUCCAGAUUGGUUCCUGGGAUCCUGGACCAACACAAAGAGAAGAGGAAAGCCUCAAGGGAAAUAAAAGUGAAGGUUUCAGUGAUAGUUUAAAUAUAUAUUUUUAAAUGUUAGCUUUUUUUUAAAUACUUCACAGUGAUGGAUGGAGUAUUUCAACCACAAUGGCAAAGAAUGAAUUACCGGCAGUGUCAGAGUUUCUUGUUGCUGUGGGAAGACAGCUGCCAUGUUGAGAGGUGCCUUGUGGAGAGGCUCAUGUGGCGAGGAACUGAGACUGGCUUCUAUCCAACAACCAGUGAGGAACUAAGGCCCUAAAGUCCUAUAGUCCACAAGGAACUAAAUCCUACCAACAACUACAUGAGUGAGCCUGGAAUCUGAUUUUCCCCAGUGGGGACUUAAGGUACCUACAACCUGGCUGUUAUGGGCUAAACUGCAUCCUGCCCAAAUUUAUAUGUUUGAGUCUUAACUCCCAGCACUUCAGAACAUGGUUUUGUUUGGAGACAUAGUCAUUAAAGAGGUAAUGAAGUUAAAAUGAGGUCAUUAGGAUGAGUCCUAAUCCAAUAGGACUGGUGUUCUUAUAUGAAGAGGAAAUUUGAACACAGACACAUAUACAGGAAAGACCAUGCGAAGAAGACACAGAGAGGAAACGGCCAUCUACAAUCCAAGGAGAGAGGCCUCAGAACAAGCCAACCCUGCAGAUACCUUGAUCUAGGCAUCCAGAAUUGUAUGAAAAUACAUUUUUGUUAUUUAAGCUACCCAGUCUGUGGUGCUUUGUUAUGGCAAUCCCAGAAAACUAAUUAACUAAUUGACUGCAGCCUUGCAAGGGACCCUGAACCAGAGGACCCAGUUAAGCCAUGUGCAGAUUCCUGACUCACAGAACUAGGAGAUAACAAAUGUUUGUUGUUCUAAGGUGCUAAAUGUUGGGAAAAUAUGUUAUGUGGCUAUGUUGUUUUGCACAUGUGCCACAUAAUGAUGUUUUGGUCAACAACAGACCACACAUAUGAUGGUGGGCCCAUAAGAUUGUAAUACUGUGUUUCUAUUAUGCAUUCUCUAUUUAUAGAUACACAAAUACUUGCCACUGUGUUACAAUUGCCUACUGUCUUCAGUACUGUAACAUGCUGUACAGGUUUGUAGCCCAGAAGCAAUAGACUAUACCAUACAGUCUGGGUGUGUAGUAGGCUAUACCAUCUAUGUUUGUGAAGUACACUCUAUGAUGUUCACAUAAUUAUGAAGUUGCCUAGUGAUGCAUUUCUCAGAAUGCAUGCCCGACAUUAAGUGACACUUGGCUUUAUGUCUAUCAUGCAUUUAAGAUAUUGCAAUAUAGUUAACUUAUGUUUUAAUACACCUCUUAAUUCUGUUUUGAUCCCACACCAACCAAGAUGCAAAACUAAUUUUUUCGCCCAUUUCCAUAAAAAACACAAUUACAAUGGGCCUAAUGUGGUUUAUGUCAUUUUCCCUGAAGAUUUGUGGUGGUAUAGGAAGCAGUCACAGCACCCUGUAUAAAGCUCUUCCAUGGCCUGCCCCCUUUUCGCAGUCACCUCUAUUAUUUGAAGGAAUGGUCCAACCAACCUCAAAGCUCUGGAAAUUUGCCCCAAAAUAAUUUUACCCUGAAGCCAUUGAAGCUUAAGUUUCAGACCCCAGUUUCACAUUCCUGUGAGUUCUGCAAGUCACUGGGAGCUAUAGAGUCUUCUACGUAGAUUUGGGAAACAAGGUGAAAAUACCUCAAGAAAUCUCAGAAGCCAGGGGCCUGCAUCUCCAAGCCUCUGGCAAUUUUCUUGUGGUUUCUAUCCUCACUCUAGAUAUUUGCUUUUGAGACUGAUUUUGAAUUCAGAAUUUUAUAUUCUCUCAAAAAGAGAAUUCUCCAAAUUCUAUAAGCUUCAGGCUCUACAAAACUUGUCUAUUCUGCCUAACUAGAUUUAUCAUAGCACGUACCAAAGAUGGCCCUGCCUCAUGAGGACUUUUCAUAUCAGACCCUUAGAUAAUAAUAUUCCCUCAUGUAAGUAAUAAUAUUUCCGCAUGUAGUUAUGUAUGAAUAAUUUUCAUUCAUCUAUAUCAUGUUGGCCAUAGUCAGUGUCCAUGUCCAAUUUAUUUUUUGUGUCCUUGGUGCUCAGAAAGUUACCAGAUGUUCAGUCAGAAUUUUAUUUAAAAUAUUUUGAUGAACUAGAUUUAAAGAUAGAUUAAAUUAAUUCCUACACAUGAUUUAAUUUAAUGGAUAAAAUAAGGGACUGAGCAUUAGCCUGAACUGUGUACUUGCAUUAGCCCUGAUGUUCCCCAGAGGGAAUAAUAUGUGAAGAAUACUGCAUAGGCUGAAAAACAAGAGUUCCCAGCAGACCAAUAUUCUUUCUUUCUGCAAGCUGUGAGACACCUGGGGAAAGUUCUCCACAUUUGGUUUUUCAGCUACUCCACCCAUGACUAGAAGGAAGAUUUUAUUUUAUUAUUUUAUUUUAUUGUAUUUUUUAACAGUAAAAGAAAAAUUAUUGUUAUUUUAAUGAAAAAGAACCACCUGGAAAGUCUAGUGACAUUUUUGAAGGCAGGGACCACUUUUUCCAGGGAUUUGUUUCCCUAUGCUAGUGCUCCAUUCACCCUUGCACCACUUCAGCAAAGCACAUAGUAGGUGUAGCAGGGAGAUGUUAAGAUGGAAACUUGGCCCUGACCAUAGGCCAAGCCAGGGUGUCUAGUCGGGAUUUAUCCAUAAACAUCAAUAUUUAUCACUAGAUGAUAUAUUGAUUUCUUAUCUGCCUCCUAUACCUAUUGAUCUAUUUUUCACAGCUUAUAGUGGGGAGGGUCAUGUUCAGUUAUUAUCCUUAAACCAAAACAAUCUCUUCUUGAAAAAUAGGAUGCUAUGCUCUGAUGUUUGCAGAGGCCAGGAAAUUCUUGCUCUGAGAGUUCCAGAAAAAAAGAUUUGUCCAGAUUUGAACUAAUUUCAGAAAAACAAAACAAAAACAAAAAACCAUCCAAGGUUAAGAGGUGACUUCUGACUCACAGAAUGAACAAGAAGGCAGGGGAAAAAAUAAGUCCCCCAAGAUUCAGGUCAAAGGAAAUGAACAGAAGGAUGAUGGAGUGGCCCAGAGGAGGAUCACGUGACAGAAAAGUCAAGAUAAAUUAGUGGCAGGACAGAGGAAAAGAACUAAAGACCUGCAGGAUCCUGAAAGAAAGAAUGAAAGGAAGCAGAUGAAGAUUCUAGAGCCCAGCUGAAUAGCCAGGCCGCCUGAGGGUAAAGAGGGAGAGAAAGAGGAAGCAGUGAAUCAAAUCAAAAAAGGAUAGAAAAAUACAGAGAAACAAGCCAGGGCACGGUGGCUCUCACCUGUAAUCCCAGCACUUUGGGAUGACAAGGAAGGCGGAUCACAUGAGGCCAGGAAUUUGAGACCACGCUGGCCAACAUGGCAAAACCCUGUCUCUACUAGAAAAAUAUGGAGGAAUGUUUGAGAGAUUGUGCACUGCCAGGGGUGAGGACAUAAAUUUAUUUGCUAUGUGAAUGUUUUUUGAGACUCAUCUAGUUCCUUUACAAUUUUAAUUUAGAAUUUCUUUAGCUCCAAAUCAGGAUCAUUAGCUGGGAGUUCUUAUAAAUCAAAAGCAAAACAAAGCUAUUGCAAACAAGUGGGAGUUCUCAUAACCUUAAUCAGAAAGGCUUGAGUUGCAUUUCCAAAUCCUGUCUCUAGAGACCAUGAGUUUUUAAUGAUAGUAUUUCCAUGAAAGCCCAAUUGAAUACAAUCACCACCCAGACCAAAGUGUAGGGGAAAUCAUAAAGCUACUUUCAAAUCCGAGUCUUCUUUGAAAUUUAAAAUUAUAUUCCAUGAUAAUGGUUCUCAUAAACCUUAAUGCAAGGGAAAAAAAAAAAACUACAGCAGAAUAAAGAAGAUUUAAAAAGAAGCAGGAUAGGAAAAAAGACAAGCCAGAGGCUAGCUAUAUCUUUUCAUAAAGCACACCUGGUCUCAUAAGCACAUGAGAGCUAGGCCCAGAAGUUUCGAGCCUUGGAGACUCACUUCAAACAAAUUCCAGGGAAAGACACUCAAUUAAGUGUUCAGGACAAUUGUAUAUCCCCAGUGCACUCAUGUACUGGAAGUGCUUAAACUCUGCCCUCAGUGGUCAAUAAAAUGGUAUUAAGUCACAGACAACCCAUUGCCAUUGGUAUUGGCUGAUGUCUCUGGUAGUUUAUGUGAUGACAAACAUUAGCCUUAACAGCAGAGCCUUCCUUUCUUUGAUUUCCGUGUGAAAUUCUGUGGCUGGGAGAUGUUUAUGUUCACAUGAACAUAACUGUAAGCAAACCAUCUUAUGGUAGACAUCUCUCCAGAAAAAGCAAAUUCCAUCUUUUUAAAUAGAAAAAAAAAACAGCAGCAAAAUGAAAUUAAUGCCUUUGGCUCAUUGUGUUGUAAAAUUAUCCUUGAAGUUAUUUCACACUGCCCUAAAAAAUCAUUGAAUUCAGAUUAUAACACAGCUCUUAUGAAGCUGUUAGGCAGUUGCAUCUUUAAUGAGGCUGAGUAGGUAAGAGGAACAGAUACUCUAGAUUGAAAGCCAUCGCAAAAAAUGUGAAACAACUGUAUUAAAUUUAAUUUAAUUUAACCAAUGGGUGUAUUUAUUCCCUGCCUUCUUCCAGAAAGGAUUUAGGGAGCUUAGGUAAUGUGGAGGUCUGAAGGUGUAGAUACUCAUGAAAGCCUCAGAUUAAUAUCUAGAACAUAUAAUGUGUCCAGAUAGUUUUCAAUUAUCAAUGCAUUAAUCUAAGCUUGGAAAGGACUUUUAAACUGCAAUGAAACCUCAACUAGUUUCAAACCUGCAUUUUUUAGUAAGCUAUUUUGUCAUUUGGAGACCCACACAAAAAACCUAUUGUUCCUUUAAAAAGGAGAGAGAGAAAAAAAGAAAAACAACCUGCUGGUGUUGCUUUGUUCAUCUUAUCACCUUAUCAUUCAGCAGCCUAUUCAGGAUCAAAUGUGGGAAAGUCUGUGUGUGAGAUUAAGCCCUAUACUCAGCACAGGAAUUUCUUGGAUAAAUGUCUUUCUUAAAUGGAUAGCUAUGUAAAAAACAGAAGAGAAACUCUAUUAUUACAAUGCAGUUGGGUUUUUUUGUUUGGUAUGUUUCAAAUCUAAUAUUUAAAAUUAAGAAAAUUCAAAGCAAACCAUCUGUGUGGAUGUUUUCAUACUCCAUUUUUGUGACAAUAGCUUGCUUAACCGAGAUUAUUAGUGGAUUCUUUCAAUAAGAGGAAGAGAGUACCAUCAUUAAGAUGGUAUGCCUCCACUAGCCUUUAUUUUUGAGAUUAAAGAAUGACAAAAAUAUUUAUAUAUAUUUUUUCAUUAUUAAGACGGAGUCUCACUCUAUCGCCAAGGCUGGAGUGCAGUGGCGCCAUCUUGGCUCACUGCAACCUCUGCCUCCCAGGUUCAAGCAAUUCUCCCACUUCGGCCUCCUGAGUAGCUGGGAUCACAGGCACCCGCCACCACACCUGGCUAAUUUUUGUAUUUUUAGUAGAGAUGGGGUUUCACCACAUUGCCCAGGCUGGUCUCAAAUUCCUGACCUCAAGUGAUCCGCCUGCCUCAGCAUCCCACAGUGCUGGGAUUACAGGCAUGAGCCACCACAACUAGCCAAAAAAUAUAUAUUUUCUUUAAAAAAAAGUUAUUUUCUGCCUAAUUACUUCAAUAUUUCAUGAACAUUGUGGGGGAAAGAAUAUUCAUACAGUUCUCUAAAUAUAUCAGUGAGUUGAGGUACCAAAUACAGAAUUCUAUUGAAUUCUAAUUGCAACACUGAAGCAGACUUACUCUAAGAUCCUGCUACCUGGACUAACCACAGACUAUACCCAGAUUCCAUCUGCAAGAUGUAGUGGAGCCAAACAUCACAUCACUGAGGAAUAUUUAUUAUAUAUCUUUCUGUAGAGGUGAGAGAGUAUUUAUAGAUAUAACAAACAAUUGGUCAGAUACUACUGGAGAUUUGGAAGCUUCACUAGGUUUUUCACUAAAUUUGUUGAUAGCCAACUCUAAAGCUCAUUCUACUACUACUAGCCAUCUUCCCUUGGACAAUUUCAUGGGCAUCGCUUCACUGAAAAGAAAAAUGAUUCAUGAUGCUUUGACAUCUUGG
rnacentral:lncRNA from 1 species